CCUGCAUCAGCCCCCCGAAUGCUGAGGUUGCAAGCAUGAAUCAACAUCCUGCAGGAAGAAAUAACUUUUAAACUAAUGGCGAGGCUCACGGCUGGGGAGCGAGAAAGCCCUGUAUGCGGUGCCCCUGGCCGAUUGUGUGUAUGCGUGCGCGCACCUGUUAGUGGUGGGAGGGCAGUUUGGAGACUGAACUUCCACUGAGUUGAUGAAUGCCCCCCACCCCCACCAGCAACGCCCUCCCCCGCAACGGUUUUCUAGAUUCCAAUCCCAGUCGCCGCCUUCUUUCCAAAUUCUCCAGCCACACCAUUGUCCAGGAAGCGCAAGCAGCUAGAAACCACAGGGAACUGUCGGACUCAACCUGUAGGAAGCUGAAUGGAGGCCGGACCAGCUCCAGGGUGAAGAAAGCGAACUGAUGUUGUGCAAAUUGUACCCGGCACUGUCUCAGGAAGUGCCGUAGCUUCCUGAUUGCGAAUGCAGAUAAUAAGAGUGUAAGGGCUGCAGCGACCAAGGAUGAAAGCGACCGACCCGCCAAAAUGUAGAGAAUGACAUCUUUAAGUACAGGUGCAAGAAAGUCACUGCAGUGCUGGCCAGAUGUUGUGUGACAACACUUUUCCUGAACAUGCAACAGAUGUGUCUACUCACCCCAGCUAAUAGACCCCAGGAUAGACCAAAGCAUGGAUCCCACCAAAGUCCAGCUUGCGUGUGGAGCUUGAGGAUUGGACUCUGCCCGCCAGGCUUGAUUACAAUCACCUGUUACCUACUGAGCCAUCCCUCUGGAUCCCACAGAAAACUUCCACUUUAAAUGUAUGAGUUGGCUAAAAGUAAAAGGAUGAGAGGGCACUGGGCUGAGGAGAUGACUCACUGGCAUUCCUAUGGCGAAAACGGAGGAGGAGGCAGGAGAAUCAGGUGGGAACUCUCAUAUGCAACACAGUAGCCCAGAUAACAAGAAAGACCAUGACUGAAAACCAGGAACCAAGGUGGACAAAAAGAUUCUUGAAACAUUGUUACCUCCAUGCAUGUACUGUGGCAUAUGAGCACCCAAACACACACACCCACACACACCAAAUAAAUAUUUUUUAAAAACCUGAUAGAUCACGUUUUUUCAAAACAUUGUUUGGGACAAUGCCAUCUCACUUUAUAGUCCAGGUUGACCUCAAACUACAGGCAGAAUCCUCUAGCCUUGACUGCCCAAGUGUUGGGAGCUACCACACCUGGCCAGCUUACCUCUUAAAAACAACAAGAGUUUAUUUCACAGUAUCUAGUGCACAAAG